rfam:Agrilus planipennis Contig52532, whole genome shotgun sequence.
ACGUAGAAAGCGGUGUAUUCCAAACAAAAAUUUGAUGGUAAAGCAGAAAAUUUUCUUAAUUCAAAAGGUUACGGUUUUGAUCCUAUAACGGCCUGAGGUAGAGGGGUUUUAGUCGGUAGGUUCGAGGACACCUUCCUCGGGAAUCCGAAACUACCCAGUCGUGCGGACGGCUGGGUGUCUUUUGAAGAUUUCCCCUCUUCCACGAAA